AUAACUCCGGGAANCNGGAGAUAAUUCCGGAUAACGCACAUAUGCUGGAAUGCUUUAUGCGUAAAAUGGAUUCGUCUGCCCAAGGAUGGGUCUGCGGCCUAUCAGGUAGUAGUGGGUGUAAUGUACCUACUAGCCAACAACGGGUACGGGUUGUGAGAGCAAGAGCCCGGAGAUGGAUUCUGAGACAUGAAUCCAGGCCCUACGGGGCGCAGCAGGCGCGAAAACUUUACAAUGCGGGAAACCGUGAUAAGGGGACACCGAGUGCCAGCAUCAUAUGCUGGCUGUCCAGGUGUGUAAAAUACACCUGUUAGCAAGGGCCGGGCAAGACCGGUGCCAGCCGCCGCGGUAACACCGGCGGCCCGAGUGGUGAUCGUGAUUAUUGGGUCUAAAGGGUCCGUAGCCGGUUUGGUCAGUCCUCCGGGAAAUCUGACGGCUCAACCGUUAGGCUUUCGGGGGAUACUGCCAGGCUUGGAACCGGGAGAGGUAAGAGGUACUACAGGGGUAGGAGUGAAAUCUUGUAAUCCCUGUGAGACCACCUGUGGCGAAGGCGUCUUACCAGAACGGGUUCGACGGUGAGGGACGAAAGCUGGGGGCACGAACCGGAUUAGAUACCCGGGUAGUCCCAGCCGUAAACGAUGCUCGCUAGGUGUCAGGCAUGGCGCGACCGUGUCUGGUGCCGCAGGAAGCCGUGAAGCGAGCCACCUGGGAAGUACG
rnacentral:rRNA from 1 species